rnacentral:rRNA from 1 species
CCUACGGGUGGCAGCAGUGGGGAAUUUUGGGCAAUGGGCGCAAGCCUGACCCAGCAACGCCGCGUGAAGGAAGAAGGCUCUCGGGUUGUAAACUUCUUUUGUCAGGGACGAAACAAAUGACGGUACCUGACGAAUAAGCCACGGCUAACUACGUGCCAGCAGCCGCGGUAAUACGUAGGUGGCAAGCGUUAUUCGGAUUUACUGGGUGUAAAGGGCGUGUAGGCGGGUGAGCAAGUCAGAUGUGAAAUUCCAGGGCUCAACCCGGGAACUGCAUUUGAAACUGUUUGUCUUGAGUGAUGGAGGGGCAGGCGGAAUUCCGGGUGUAGCAGUGAAAUGCGUAGAUAUACGGAGGAACACCAGUGGCGAAGGCAGCUUACCGAUCUAUAUCUGACGUUGAGGCACGAAAGCGUGGGGAGCGAACAGGAUUAGAUACCCCAGUAGUC